rnacentral:misc_RNA from 1 species
GAUGAAGAACGUAGCAAACUGCGAUACUUGGUGUGAAUUGCAGAAUCCCGUGAACCAUCGAGUCUUUGAACGCAAGUUGCGCCCGAAGCCAUUAGGCCGAGGGCACGCCUGCCUGGGCGUCACACGUCGUUGCCCCCCCAUCUACUCCUUCGGGAUUGCGGGGGGCGGAUGAUGGCCUCCCGUGCGCCUCGCCGCGCGGUUGGCAUAAAUGCCAAGUCCUCGGCGACGCACGCCACGACAAUCGGUGGUUGCGAAACCUCGGUUGCCCGUCGUGUGCGGUCGUCGCGCAUCGAGGGCUCGAAAAAAUUGCCGGGUUCCGGCUCGGCUUUCAACGCGACCCCAGGUCAGGCGGGGUUACCCGCUGAAUUUAAGCAUAUCAAUAAGCGGAGGA